UUCAUGAUUUUAAUUUUAAUUUCUUUCCUUCUCCUGCGCUCUCUCCCCAGAUUCUAUCAUCCUGAGCUUGCCAAUAAAAUUUCCAUUCCAUAAACCCCUUGGGAAUGUGCAUAGCUAUAUGCAAAAGCCUUCUCAACGUGAAACCCGUUCUCUUUGCUCAAUUUGCUUUAAUCCCAAUUUCCUUACCCCCUUUUUCCUCUUUGCCAAGCCUCGUUUUUGAUCGAUGUAUAAUUUGUAUUAGCCACUUGAUUUGAUGCUCAAGUAUCUGUUCCCGCAUUCGCAUAUUGUUUAUCUGUGCCCACCACGCUUCCGCUAUCGUUGCUGAUUCGCCAACACUUCAACUGUUUAUCAGCAAGAGUCUGUUGUUGCGGUGUCUUGUUCGGGGGUGCGAGGUUUACUAGGGAGUUUGAAAGUUAAAAGAUUGAAAGCAAAGGGAAACCUUAGGCUUGCAUGGGCGAACAUGAGGGGUGGGCGCAGCCCUCUGGUGGUCUAUUGCCAAAUGGUCUGUUGCCUGAUGAAGCUGCCUCGGUAAUUCGAGUGCUUGACUCAGAGAGAUGGUCGAAGGCUGAAGAGAGGACUGCAGAGCUAAUUACCUGCAUUCAGCCUAAUCCACCCUCUGAAGAGCGUAGAAAUGCUGUUGCUGACUAUGUGCAGCGGCUUAUCACGAACUGCUUCCCCUGCCAGGUGUUUACCUUUGGGUCUGUGCCCCUCAAGACUUAUUUACCUGAUGGAGAUAUUGACUUAACGGCUUUCAGUAAAAAUCAAAAUUUGAAGGAUACAUGGGCACAUCAGGUUCGUGACAUGCUGGAGAGCGCGGAGAAGAAUGAGCAUGCAGAGUUCCAUGUGAAAGAGGUUCAGUACAUCCAGGCUGAAGUGAAGAUUAUAAAAUGUCUUGUUGAAAAUAUUGUAGUUGACAUAUCAUUUAACCAGCUUGGAGGAUUGUGUACCCUUUGUUUUCUUGAGGAGGUUGAUAAUCUGAUUAACCAAAAUCAUUUAUUCAAGCGUAGUAUCAUACUGAUAAAAGCAUGGUGUUAUUAUGAGAGCCGUAUACUUGGUGCCCACCAUGGACUCAUCUCAACCUAUGCAUUAGAAACUUUGGUUCUUUACAUAUUUCAUGUUUUCAACAAUUCUUUUGCUGGACCACUUGAGGUAUUGUAUCGUUUCCUGGAGUUUUUUAGUAAGUUUGACUGGGAUAAUUUCUGCGUAAGUCUAUGGGGUCCAGUACCCAUUAGUUCUCUCCCAGAUGUUACAGCUGAACCUCCUCGGAAAGAUGGUGGAGAUUUACUGCUUAGCAAGUUAUUUCUUGAUGCUUGUAGCUCAGUUUAUGCUGUUUUUCCCGGCGGUCAAGAAAAUCAAGGGCAAACUUUUGUUUCCAAGCAUUUUAAUGUUAUUGAUCCUUUGCGUGUGAACAAUAACCUUGGUCGUAGUGUUAGCAAAGGCAAUUUCUACAGGAUACGUAGUGCUUUUGCAUUUGGGGCUAAAAAGCUAGCUAGGCUGCUUGAUUGCCCAAAGGAGGACUUAUAUUCUGAAGUCAAUCAGUUCUUUAUGAACACUUGGGACAGACAUGGAAAUGGCCAGCGGCCUGAUGCUCCAAGCAAUGACUUGUGGCGUUUGAGAUUAUCUAAUCAUGAUCAGUUACAAGGGUCUGAUAACCUCAGGAAAAACAGCCAAAAAAUUGAUAAUAUCACUGAUCAUGAAUACCAAGAUGAAGGGACACGCAGUUCACGAAGUGGCUCAUCUCAUCAUGGAAGCUCAUUUAAGAGUAGUGAUACUUCUACUGUAUCACAUGCACAAACUCUAAAGGCCCAUAGCAACCAAAACAAUUUAAGGACCUCUGACCAGGUCAGAAGGGAGAUCAGUUCUAACCAGGGUACUUAUGUUGAUAAAGGUCAGAGAAAUGUUAAACCGAGUAACCCAAUGAUUGAUAUUCAAGGAAGAUUUCUAUUUGCAAGAACCCGCUCCAGUCCUGAGCUGACUGAUUCAUAUGACGAAGUUUCUUCCCAAGGAAGGUUUGCAAGAGGCCAAGAAAGUGGGAAAGGGCAGAAUUCCUCUGCAAUGUUGGAUAAUAGUCGUAGGAGGAAUCUUGAAUCUGACAUGGCCUCAAGCCAUGGUGUUAGAAUUGAUGAUAUAUCUUCUACACGUGUAUCACCCAGUCGUGUUCUUGAUGAUGCUACUAAUUCAAACAAUGGGUCAAGUAGUUACCAGGUUGAUUCAGGUUCUGGCGUAAUGGGCGGAGAAUUUGUGUCUGUGGGUGGAACAGGAGCAUCUCAGAUGAUGCUUCAGGAGGAGCAGGAUCUUUUGAACAUGAUGGCAUCUUCAACAGCUCAUCGUUUUGGUGAUCAGGUUCAUGUUCCUGUGAAUUUAGCUCCAGGUCAUCUGCCACUUCCAUUUCCACCUACAAUUCUCGCAUCAAUGGGAUAUGCACAGCGAAAUGUGGGUAAUAUUCCCUUGGUUGACGCUUCUUGGGGUACAAAUAUGCAGUUUCCUCAAGGUUUUAUUCCUUCUUCAAUGACUCCGUGUUUCCCUGGCUUAGGCUUGGCUUCAAAUCCUGAAGCCACAAUUGAAACUGGCAAUGAUAAUUUUAGUGCUGUUGAAAUGAAUCCAGCAGACGCCGAUACUGAUUUCUGGCAUGAGCAAGAAAGGGGUUCCGCUACUGAGGUUGAAGUUGAUAAUGAGAUUCUGGAUGAUAAACAACAGUCAACUUCUGGUAGUUAUACCUUUGUUUCAUCAUCGCGCGUAAGUGGCUCGGGUAGUUCUGGUAGAAAUCAACAGAAGCACACUAAAGAAAACAGAGGAUUUUCAAGAGAAGAAAACAUUGAUACUUUUCAAUAUCAAGAUAGCAGAGGGAAUGAGGUUUGUUUUGAUGAUAGGAUGUCAAAUUUGAGGGUAACCAGUGCUCCUUUAAGCUCCAAGAGUAAAACUUCCUCUGAAAGCUCUUGGGAAGGAUCACCCACAAAGUUCUCAAAAUCAACAAAGGAUAAAAGAGGUAGGAAGAAUAUACCCACAGUGGUACCAGCUGGUUAUGGAAAGGGUAAGGAUGUAUCAGAAAUGUCGUCUAAUUUGGCAGAUGAUGAAAACGGAGAAAGGACUUCUAUUUCAACAACUAACAUGGCAGAUAGAAGUACUGGUGGCCCAGCUGUUACCUCUGCGCAUGUUCCAAGGCAUCAAGUACCUGGCUUUGAACCAGUUCAGACAAGUGGAUCAGAUUCACCGAUACCUAUAAAUCCAGUUCUUUUAGGAGCAGGUUCUCGCCAAAGGGCAGUUGAUAAUUCUGGGGUUGUUCCAUUUGCAUUUUAUCCUACAGGGCCACCUGUACCCUUUUUUACUAUGCUUCCAGUAUAUAAUUUUCGGACUGAGUCAGGAACUUCUGACACAUCAACAAGCAAUAAUGGGGAAGAAUUGAUGGAUAACAGUGAUUCUGGUCAGAAUUUUGAUUCAUCUGAGGGGUAUGAGCAGCCUGAGGUGUCAAGUCCUCCUAAUUCUACUAGAAGGGCUGUUUUUGAGUCAUCAGAGCACAAGUCUGACAUUCUUAACAGUGACUUUGCGAGCCAUUGGCAAAAUUUGCAAUAUGGGCGAUUUUGUCAAAACUCACGCCAUCCAUCUUCAAUGAUCCAUCCUUCACCUGUGCCUCCUGUUUAUUUGCAGGGUCGUUUUCCUUGGGAUGGUCCUGGAAGACCUCUUUCAACUAACAUGAAUCUUUUUGCUCAGUUUAUGAACUAUGGGCCACAACUAGUUCCUGUUGCCCCUCUUCAGUCGGUUUUGAACAGACCUGCCAAUAUUUACCAACGUUUUGCGGAUGAGAUGCCACGAUAUCGAAGUGGCACUGGAACAUACCUGCCAAAUCCUAAAGUCUCUGCUCGAGACCGACAAUCUGCAAACCGAAGGGGAAAUUACAACUAUGAGAGAGGUGAACACCAUGGUGACAGGGAAGGAAACUGGAACAUGAGUUCAAAGAUGCGAGCAACUGGACGUGGUCAUAAUCGCUUCCAAACUGAGAGGCCAAACUCAAAGCCAGAGAGGUUGGCAACAAGUGAGAGCCGAGCUGAAAGGCCAUGGCGGUCGCAUAGACAUGACUCCUCUAUGUCUUACCACACUCAGAAUGGUCCCGUACGCUCAAAUUCCUCACAGAACACUUCUUCCAAUGUGGCAUAUGGGAUGUAUUCUCUGCCUGGCAUGAACCCCAGUGGGGUCUCAUCAAAUGGACCGGCAAUGCCAUCAGUUGUGAUGCUGUACCCUUACCAGCAUAAUGCUGGCUACAGUUCACCAGCAGAACACCUGGAGUUUGGAUCUUUUGGAUCUAUGGGUUUCUCAGGUGUUCAUGAAGUAUCACUAAAUGAGGGAAGCGGAUCUGGUGGAGCGUUUGAGGAGCAAAGGUUUCAUGGAGGUUCUGCUCAUCGAUCCUCACCAGAUCAACCCUCUUCACCCCACCUCUCAAGGUAGCUUACCCCAUCUGCUCAUGCCUUUUACUGGAUAGGACCAAAGAGAAUAGUCAAAGAAGUCUAAGACCAUGCAAUAAUGAAAUGGUCGCAUGACCGCAAAACUCGUGUCCAGUUUUUAGGUGAACUUGAUUAUUUUGCCAGAUCAGCGGCCAAGGAGCAAUUCGAGGUUGAAAGAGGAGGAUGGUAUUCUGCCUCCUUAUUAGGACCUGGGAGACAAGUUGAGUGGGGAAAACUACAAUGAGAAAACUACCCUCAAUGAGGCAUCAUUCGUGUUCUCAUCCCACAGUUGAGUGGGAAGAUUUAUUUGUUCGAAUCAUAGUCGAUCUUUCAUGUGAAAGUUGCCUCUCUUGUGGCUCAGAUGUUGCAUCAUGUACACUUACCAAGCUAUUAACCACCUUCGUUUAUAUUUGUGCCUAACACCUUGUUCAAAGGAUGAAGCCACGGUGACAAAAGAGGGAUGCCUAACUUGGUGAUUAGUUUGCCAUUGAAGGUUGAUACAGUUGUAACAGUAUCAGAGUAGAAAAGUGGCCUUUAGGUUCAGAAUUUAGAUAUCUCUUCUUACCUAGUUACAGGUUUUUUCCCAGCCACACUCCAUGACAGUGGAGUAGGAUAUUGUUUUAGAGGAUGCAUUAGAUCUUCGUCGAAUCCUCAUAGCGCCUUUUACACUGUAGCAGUAACAAUAUCAGAAGUUAAUAAUACGUCAUUUAAACCCACGUU